rnacentral:rRNA from 1 species
AGAGCGAACGCUGGCGGCAGGCCUAACACAUGCAAGUCGAGCGCCCGUAGCAAUACGGGAGCGGCAGACGGGAUAGUAACACGUGGGAACGCGCCCUUCGGUUCGGAAUAACUCAGGGAAACUUGAGCUAAUACCGAAUACGCCCUUACGGGGAAAGAUUUAUUGCCGAAGGAACGGCCCGCGUCCGAUUAGCUAGUUGGUGAGGUAAUGGCUCACCAAGGCUACGAUCGGUAGCUGGUCUGAGAGGAUGACCAGCAUCACUGGGACUGAGACACGGCCCAGACUCCUACGGGAGGCAGCAGUGGGGAAUAUUGGACAAUGGGCGCAAGCCUGAUCCAGCCAUGCCGCGUGGAUGAUGAAGGCCUUAGGGUUGUAAAGUCCUUUAACGGGGAAGAUAAUGACGGUACCGUAGAAUAAGCCCCGGCUAACUUCGUGCCAGCAGCCGC